AGAGUUUGAUCCUGGCUCAGAACGAACGUUGAUGGCGUGCCUCAUACAUGCAAGUCGAGCGGGUAGCAAUACCAGCGGCGGACGGGUGAGUAACACGUAAAGAAUCUGCCCUAAAGUGGGGAAUAACUAUCCCAACGGAUAGCUAAUACCGCAUACAGAUGGAGAAGGCAUCUUCUCUUCUCAAAAGGCUUCGGCCGCGUCUCAGGAUAGAGCUUUGCGGUCCCAUUAAAGCUAGGUUUGGCGGUGUAAAGCGGACCCAGCCCAGAGGCGACGAUGGGGUAUUCCGGCCUGAAGAAGGGUUGUUACGGACACAUUGGGAAUCUGAGGAUACGGUCCCAGACUCCUACGGGGAGGGCAGCCAGUAGGGAAAUUUUGCGCAAUGGGGGAAACCCUGACGCAGCAACGCCAUGUGUGGGAUGAAGCAUUUCGGUGUGUAAACCACUGUCAGCAGGGAAUAAAUGGCCUGAAUAGGUCGCUGAAUGUACCCUGCAAAGGAAGCCCCGGUCUAACUUUCGUGCCAGCAGCCGCGGUAAUACGAGGGGGGGCCAAAAUGUUGUUCGGAAUCACUGGGGCGUAAAGGGGAGCGGUAGGCAGGGGCCUUUUCAAGUUUAGGGUGUUUAAUUCCCCGGGGCCCAACCCCCGGAACCGGCCACUUUAAAAACUUGGGAGUCUUUGAAUAGUGGCAGAGGUCCAGUUGGCAAUUGGGGGGUGUAGCGGUGGAAUGCGUUAGAGAUCCCCAAGAACACCAGUUGGAAGGCGGCUGACUGGACACAUAUUGACGCUGAGGCUCGAAACAUGGGGAGCAACAGGAUUAGAUCCCUGGUAGUCCAUGCCAUAAGCGAUGAAUAUAGGUAUUGGCCCGUCAACGGUCCAGUGCCGCAGCUAACGCGUUAAGUAUUCCGCCUGGGGAGUCGGUCGCAAGACUGAAACUCAAAUGAAUUGACGG
rnacentral:rRNA from 1 species